rnacentral:ncRNA from 1 species
GAAAAUAUUUUGCAAACUUAAGUUGAUGGACAGAGGUGUAGCAAAAGCAAGCCAGGUGAGGCACAAGUCAAAUAUGACCUGAAACCAAGUGAUCUAAUCAUGGGCAGUCUGAAACUUGUCGCAAGGCAAGAUGGAGGGACGCACUGGUGGUUGUGACAAAAAUCUCAGAAAGCCUGUAGUAAGUGGUGAAAGGCCAAUUGAACUUGGCAAUAUCUGG